CGCCCAAGUCAUAUAAAAACCAUUUUUACUCAAUAUCGAGUCGAUAUAACAAAGGUGUCUAGUACACAUAAACUAAAUUACCUUUACAGUUUUACAAAGAUGAUAAAUAAUGCUACAUGUCAAUUUCACUGAAAAUAAUAACCAAUGCCACAAUGAAGGCAUAAUCUACUCCUGGAUAAACUUGUACCCUGAACUUAUCACUACCUCCCAAGAAGCUUCCCCAGGUAAAUUUGUGAUUCACCUGUGAAGACAUGCUAUCAAAGUGACAUUCUAGCUUCAAAAACUCAUAGUAGCAUUCAGUUCUUGAAAAAUAUAAGAAAAAGAAAAAAUGUUUGUCUUUUCCUUUCAUUUCUAUCAUACUUUUCAUAAAGCCAAGGUACUGUUAGGAAAUGGAAGUUACCUCGGCAACCAAAGUAUCAUCUUUGUAAACUUUACAAGACUGAGAGGAGUAGCAACCAACAACCUGGAAGUUGCUGAUAUCUUCAUUGAUGUUGCUAGCUAAGGAGACAUCAAGCCUUGUUUUCACCUGGAAAGGAUGGGAUCGCUGCACACUGAAGAGGAGAUCGUUCCUUUCUGAACUUUCUCCUUGAUGAACUAGCCAACGAUUUCUGCUUGUAAGUACCUUGGCAAAUACCAAAACAGAAAAGCAAGAUUUUUCUAUCUUGUACAGAUUGAAUGUAUUCAAGCACAUGUACGAUCUAAGUGUACAAUUAAUCACUCAUAUAUUACUUCAUCUUGUUACAAAAGACACAGAAUCUACCUUUUCGCGCAUUGUGAGGAUAAGAAAACCAGCAGGAUCACGCAUGAUUCUUUUCUUUUGGAAGUUUCUGUAGAAGCCAUCAACUUGAAGGAAGAGAUUGCCAUUAACAUCCUGUACUUCAAAGCGAGUAUCAAAGAACCCAUGAUCUUUCUUCUUGAUGACUAACUCCACAGGAUAAGGAACACAAAAGCCAUCCCUUACAACACUAAAAAUGGGUACUCCAUAUGCUACCUCAUGAGUUUCCAUAUUUAUUUUUUCCAGGAAAUUUAGUUGUGCAGAUUGGCAAAGAAAACAAGGCACCAAGGUUAGACAAGACAAAUAAAAACAAAUAAAUUUUAUAGCAACUUUCUUUGAAUUUCAACUGGUGAUGAGGUCAGGCAAGAGAAAUUUAUUGUGCUUGUUUAGAUCUACACCGAGUACAAAUGACUGGAUUAUCUUAUUUUAUUAUUUAUUUAUUUUGCUUAGUAAUAACUUAAGAGCCCUGCAUAUAUAGAAUGUUUGGAUAAACAUGAAUUUGCUUAAAACAACUCUUCAAAUAUCUGCCAUCAGUCUUGAAAUAAAUAUGAUACUUUUCAUAUUUUCCUUCAUUUGACUCAUUAAAACAAUGGGCAGAAAAUUAAACAAACAAUAGGUAAGUAAGAUAAAACAUCUACCAGAUAGUUUCUAGAAUCAGAUUCUUACAGCAAAAAAUUUAAGCCCCGUGAACAUGAAGACAAAAGAGAACAAAGCUAGAUGAGAUUAGAAAGUCAUCAGAGAAAACACACAUAAUCAACAUCAUCUUGAAGGCACAAUGACUGAUGCUGUAGAUGCGAGAUAUAAACUUAAUUUCUCAACAUCAAUGAGGAUUUUAAUUCUUCUCACCACAUGGAAUAUUAAUAAUAAAUCAAAUUAUUCAAUUGUUGCCCUGGAAAAUCAGAUGGACCUUUGUGCAUACAUAUGAUAAAUUGAAGCAGUUCAUCACAAAAAUUGAGUCAGCAUUUCAGAAAACAUGAUAUCUGAUAUAAAGAACAGAAAUAGUAAGUAAAUACAUAAUAAGAAGAUUCAGAGGGGAAGAAAAGAAGGGGGGGUGGUGGUGGAGAGAGAGAGAGAGAGAGAGAG
rnacentral:misc_RNA from 1 species